UACGGAGGGGGCGAGCGUUGUCCGAAUUUACUGGGCGUAAAGCGCACGUAGGCGGUCUGUUAAGUCUGCUGUGAAAGCCCGGAGCUCAACUCCGGCGGGUCAGUGGAUACUGCCAGACUGGAAGUUGCUAGAGGAAGAUGGAAUUACUGGUGUAGCGGUGAAAUGCGUAGAUAUCAGUAGGAACACCCGUGGCGAAGGCGGUCUUCUGGAGCAAUCUUGACGCUGAGGUGCGAAAGCUGGGGGAGCAAACGGG
rnacentral:rRNA from 1 species